rnacentral:rRNA from 1 species
UGCGGAGGGAUCAUUACAAGUGACCCCGGUCUAACCACCGGGAUGUUCAUAACCCUUUGUUGUCCGACUCUGUUGCCUCCGGGGCGACCCUGCCUUCGGGCGGGGGCUCCGGGUGGACACUUCAAACUCUUGCGUAACUUUGCAGUCUGAGUAAACUUAAUUAAUAAAUUAAAACUUUUAACAACGGAUCUCUUGGUUCUGGCAUCGAUGAAGAACGCAGCGAAAUGCGAUAAGUAAUGUGAAUUGCAGAAUUCAGUGAAUCAUCGAAUCUUUGAACGCACAUUGCGCCCCCUGGUAUUCCGGGGGGCAUGCCUGUUCGAGCGUCAUUUCACCACUCAAGCCUCGCUUGGUAUUGGGCAACGCGGUCCGCCGCGUGCCUCAAAUCGACCGGCUGGGUCUUCUGUCCCCUAAGCGUUGUGGAAACUAUUCGCUAAAGGGUGUUCGGGAGGCUACGCCGUAAAACAACCCCAUUUCUAAGGUUGACCUCGGAUCAGGUAGGGAUACCCGCUGAACUUAAGCAUAU